CCCCUUGUGCCCUGGCCCGCGUGUGUGCGGCUGGGUGCGGGGCUCACGGCGGGGCCUGCCCAGACCUCUAUCCCAGCCUUGAAGCCGGGGCACAGGCACCAGCUGUGUCUGCAGUUUAAACUCAUCCCUCUGUCCUUCCUCCACAAGCCAUCCCCAAUACAGGAUGAACCGGUAUGUCACAACAACAAGGUGGGUGCAGCUUAUUACCCGAUUCUUCAGCCAUGGACACUGACUUUGUGGGCAGGGAACAACUGAGGAAAACAAUUUCACUGCUGCACAGAUACAAGACACACAAACUCUGUUAUUUGAAGGAAAGGACAGUCACCCUUUGUAUAACCACCUGGACACACCAUUGCUGCCCGCAUUUCACCCAACCUCUACUCCAGCAUUAAUACCCAGUCACUUAUUUCUCCAGCUGUUCCAUAAAUGCCUUCUAUUUCCUUAAUAAAUGGGUUUCUGCACUG